rnacentral:lncRNA from 1 species
CGCCUCCAAAGGUCUGAUAACCAAUUACAGAUGAACAGGAAGUGAUUACAAAGAUAGAUGGACAGUGUUGCAGUUAGAAGACGCCACAGUACAUAGAGAUUUAGUUCAUUCCUCCAUAGAUCAACAUUAACCACUGGCAACAUUCCUACAGCCUAAUUCAAAUGAAAUCAAUAAUCUCUCAUCAAUUGUGCCUCUGCCAUGAAGAUGCAGACGCAGCAGAACCUGCCCAAGACCCAGUUCUGGAGGAGGCAGCUGAUGCACCUGAUGAAACUGUUUCACUGACUGGGACUGGAGCUGCUUAUCGCCGUCGCACAAAGUCGAGCGAGGACGCUGCUGCUUCACCAGAGAAAGAAAAUCUGUUGAAGUGAAAUGAAGACGGUGCCUCAGAUUGAGUCAGAAGUGUUUAUGACAACCUGGAUCAGAACUGAGUCAGGGAGGCAACAACCUGAAGAACUACUGCACAUAGACUAAAAUGAUCCUUGAAGACUUGAUCAGACAAACUCAGGUCCAUUAAACUGUGGUCCAUUAGCUGUUAGUCAAACUCUGGUGCUGAAUAAACAACCCGACAAAGCAAACGGACCAACAACAGUAUGUUGGGAUAGUUCUGAGUGUUUCUUCUCUGGUGUCACAAACAGCUGCCAGCUGGACUGUGGUUCUGGAGAAGAUGAUCUUUUCUUAAAUAUGGCAACUUUUAUCAACCACAUGAAGAAUUUCCCGUCUCAGAGGACUGAACAAAGGUCCGUUUAUUUCCACACACAGACUCGACCUUAUCGCCACAAUGAAGGCUCACAUCUAUUAUACCAUGGUCUGGGGGAAUACUCAAUUCUGAUUGGCUGCAGGGUGUCCAUUAACCCCUGAUAUAUGGACACCUACUAAGUAGUUCCAGUCAAAUUGACUGUUCACCGCUGUAAAUCAAUGCACUAGCUGGCGUAUCCAAUCUGAAUAUGUUAUUUCCAGCACUGAGUGCAGUCUGUCAGUCCUUCAGUGUCUUAUCCUCUGAACACCACAGGAUGGCGACUGUAACACACAAUCUGCAGAAAGUUCACUUCCCCUCUAAACUUACUGAUACGCGAAUAAUCUCACAUCCCGUUCACUGUUCAGCUCUCUGCUUCAGGCUGCGGCCACAGUAACGUUACACACGGCCGGUCAUUUGUUUGUGAAAAUCUUGCUGUUGAUUUGGGGACAAUGACAUGACUGGUUAGCUAGCUAAUCAUGUUAGCUAGCAUACUGUCAAAUUAUAUUUACUGUUUGUCAACCGUACGCAAUGUUAUUGACUUUGAAUCUUGCUAGCAUAGCGUUAGCUUUCUGGCUCAUCGCUGAGCGGACGAGAAUAUCUCCCGUUGCCGAGUCGUAUCUAUGAUCCGUCCUAUUUACUGGAGGAGUGAACAAGGUUUCUGUUGCAUAAGAAUCUUACGGGAGAUUAAUGACUGUUCCAGGUAUUAGUCAAACCCUCAGGCGUUACCAGGGAAACUUAGUUAUGGCUUGUGAAAAACUUUAUAUUUUGAUUGUAAAACACAUGAAAAUGUAAAUUAAUGGUCCGAAUUUCUUUUCUUUGUCAAGUGACCAUGGUAUAAGCGGGAUAAUGCCCUUCAAGGUGUCCAUAAUACAGGAGUUAAUGGACUUCGCGGAGGCAACCGUUCUUAGGCCUCCGCAUCGUCCAUUUACUCCUGUUUAUGGACACCUCGAAGGGCAUUAUCCCUUACUUAGUUCACACUGAACCAAGCAGCUCCAUCUGAAAGGCACUAAACUGGGUCCAGUUUAUAUAAACAGCCUGUCGGCCAAACGGAACCAAAAGUGGUGUGACGGUACACAUCAUGACGUUGACAUCCGUGUGUUUCUCAGUGUCACCUGUUAAUCUGAACAUGUACCUGCUGACUGUUUAUAAUCAUAUGGAUGCUGUUCUGAUGUGUUGUUAUUGAGGUCCAGACCCACCAAACAUCCUGGAAGGUGUCAAAGUUACGUUUUUUGCACUAAGUUACAUAAUUACAUCGUCACCAUCAGUGAACAGAACGCUGUCUACCUCUAUCACUCACAGGGAGGGAGGAUGUUUUCUGGGGAAAAGUUUUGGGCCGACCGUCGCUGUGAUUCUUUUCAAUACAAGUUAAAAGUUGGUAGGACAGACAGGAUGACAGACAGGAUGACAGACAGGAUGACAGACAGGAUGACAGACAGGACGACAGACAGGAUGACAGACAGGAUGACAAGUUUUUUCCUCAUUUAAGCUCCCAAAGACACUUCCAGUUACCUCAGUACUGUGUUUUGGUCCUGUUACGUUGCUUUGUGGGUUGAGGUUUGGAACAUUUCUUCUAUGUUUGAUGAGUGAAGGAAUUAUUUAUCUGUCAGACUGAACACCAUCAGACUGACACACUGCGGUCCACACUGACGCCAAACUGUCCUCCCUUAUUAUUAUCAGGACAUGAUUCCCACCUGGAAAGUGCUGUGUGAACGGGUCUGUGGUCUGUCGAUUUAUUAUGUUGUCUAUUUAUUUUUUUUUAGCUUUGAGUGUCCAGUGAGUGUUUCUGUAUCAUCUGUGUGUCUGAAUGUUGGGGUUUGUGUUGAAGUGUUGGAAUUUUUUAAAAAAUUAAACAAUGGUACUUGAAAAAGUAUUUGAUUUACUGUGUUGUCUUGUAUUUCACUAUAAAACUAAGUACAGAAAUGGUCAGAAGAAGUUGUGCGUGAACCAGAAUUGAGCGUAAAAACAGAAUAAUUAAGAAUAAACCAAAUGCUU